GGUGAUGUAGCUCAGUGGUAGAUCACUUGCAUAAGCAAGGUCCUGGGUUUGAUUCCUAGUAUCCCCA
rfam:Ictidomys tridecemlineatus contig102109, whole genome shotgun sequence.